rnacentral:lncRNA from 1 species
AGAAACAAGAAGUAGAGAAAUGGCUAUGGCUAUUGCUUCUUUCCGCAUUGUAUUUCGUCACAUGUUACACGCCAACAACACCUAUAACUGCUUCUUCACUCUCCCACCCCGACCCACGUGUUUUCUUAUAAAUCGUCGCGCCACGUGGCGGCAGUGUCUUAUUUCUUCUCGUGCAAGUUCAACUAAUAACUACAGUUACAAAGUUGUUGUGAAGAAAGACGAGCGAGUUGAGAAUGAAAACACUGAUGUUGUAAACUCGACAACAAUUGCAGCCAUUGUAACAUCGUUAGGUGGUCCCCCUGCUGCCGUCGGAAUCGUUCGCCUUUCGGGUCCUAGCGCGGUGUCUAUUGCGUGUCGGGUAUUUCGACCCGCGAAGAACAUGUGGCAGCCUACUAGUCAUGUUGUUGAAUACGGCGUCGUAUUGGAUUCCGAUGGAAAUGUCAUCGAUGAGGUUAGUAUGUUGUGUUUGUUUGGGUUUUUCGGUGAUUGAAUAUUUUUGAAAUUCAUGGUUCUGUUUAUGUUGUUAGGUUUUGGCGGUUCCCAUGCUUGCACCGAGAUCGUAUACUCGUGAAGAUGUGGUUGAACUUCAAUGUCAUGGGAAUGAAGUGUGUUUGCGUCGUGUGCUUAGAACUUGUUUGGAAGCUGGAGCAACACUUGCAUAAAAUUUGAAAAAAGUUUUUUGAAUAAACAUUAAAUUUUUUAAAAUAUAUUUAUAUAUUGAAUUUUUUUUAUAAAUUUUUCAAUAAACACAAACUUUAAAUUUUUUAAAAUAUAUUUGUAUAUAUUUAUGUACUGGAAAACUUUAAAAAAAAUUUUAAUACUUUUUAAGUACAUAAACUUUAAAUUUUUUGAAACAUAUUUGUUUCAAAAAAGAUUUAUUUUUUUUUUUAAAUUUCAAAUUGAAUUAAGUUGAAUAGAAAUUUUUUCAUUUUUUUUAAAAGAAAAACAUAAUAGGUAGUUUGUAUAAAUACGAAGGAGAUAAAACUGUCUUGAGUUUGUACGUUUAGCCGAAUGGGCCUUUUGGCCCAAAAAGUCAAAUGGGCCUAUCGGGCCAGAAUUGUUGAGGUUGGGUGAAGAAUGAAGAUGAUGGAUAGGUAGACGAAACAAGAGGAACAGAUAGCAGAAACAAGAAGUAGAGAAAUGGCUAUGGCUAUUGCUUCUUUCCGCAUUGUAUUUCGUCACAUGUUACACGCCAACAACACCUAUAACUGCUUCUUCACUCUCCCACCCCGACCCACGUGUUUUCUUAUAAAUCGUCGCGCCACGUGGCGGCAGUGUCUUAUUUCUUCUCGUGCAAGUUCAACUAAUAACUACAGUUACAAAGUUGUUGUGAAGAAAGACGAGCGAGU